rnacentral:rRNA from 1 species
CGGGGUGCAGCAGGCGCGAAAACUUUACAAUGCGGGAAACCGUGAUAAGGGGACACCGAGUGCCAGCAUCAUAUGCUGGCUGUCCAGGUGUGUAAAAUACACCUGUUAGCAAGGGCCGGGCAAGACCGGUGCCAGCCGCCGCGGUAACACCGGCGGCCCGAGUGGUGAUCGUGAUUAUUGGGUCUAAAGGGUCCGUAGCCGGUUUGGUCAGUCCUCCGGGAAAUCUGACGGCUUAACCGUUAGGCUUUCGGGGGAUACUGCCAGGCUUGGAACCGGGAGAGGUAAGAGGUACUACAGGGGUAGGAGUGAAAUCUUGUAAUCCCUGUGAGACCACCUGUGGCGAAGGCGUCUUACCAGAACGGGUUCGACGGUGAGGGACGAAAGCUGGGGGCACGAACCGGAUUAGAUACCCGGGUAGUCCCAGCCGUAAACGAUGCUCGCUAGGUGUCAGGCAUGGCGCGACCGUGUCUGGUGCCGCAGGGAAGCCGUGAAGCGAGCCACCUGGGAAGUACGGCCGCAAGGCUGAAACUUAAAGGAAUUGGCGGGGGAGCACAAGGGCGAUUCGCG